CUUUGCACCCCGCUGACGAGCGGCGGACGGGUGAGUAAUGCAUAGGAAACUGCCCAGUAGUGGGGGAUAGCCCGGGGAAACCCGGAUUAAUACCGCGUACGCCCUUCGGGGGAAAGCAGGGGAUCUUCGGACCUUGCGCUAUUGGAUGUGCCUAUGUCGGAUUAGCUAGUUGGUGGGGUAAAGGCCUACCAAGGCGACGAUCCGUAGCUGGUCUGAGAGGAUGAUCAGCCACAUCGGGACUGAGACACGGCCCGAACUCCUACGGGAGGCAGCAGUGGGGAAUAUUGGACAAUGGGGGCAACCCUGAUCCAGCCAUGCCGCGUGUGUGAAGAAGGCUUUCGGGUUGUAAAGCACUUUCAGUGAGGAGGAAAACUCUGCGACUAAUACUCGUAGGGCUUGACGUUACUCACAGAAGAAGCACCGGCUAACUCCGUGCCAGCAGCCGCGGUAAUACGGAGGGUGCAAGCGUUAAUCGGAAUUACUGGGCGUAAAGCGCGCGUAGGUGGUUUGAUAAGCGAGAUGUGAAAGCCCCGGGCUUAACCUGGGAACGGCAUUUCGAACUGUCAGGCUAGAGUAUGGUAGAGGGUAGUGGAAUUUCCUGUGUAGCGG
rnacentral:rRNA from 1 species